CUACGGGGGGCUGCAGUCGAGAAUAGUCUACAAUGGACGAAAGUCUGAUAGUGCGACGCCGCGUGGAUGAAGAAGCAUUUCGGUGUGUAAAGUCCUUUUCUGUGUGAGCAAUGUUUUCCAGGUUAAUAGCUUGGAGAAAGCGAUAUUAACACAGGAAUAAGCUCCGGCUAACUCCGUGCCAGCAGCCGCGGUAACACGGGGGGAGCAGGCGUUGUCCGGAAUUACUAGGCGUAAAGGGUAAGUAGGCGGAAUUGUAAGUCAGAUGUUAAAGGCACCGGCUCAACCGGUGUAUGGCAUUUGAUACUGUAAUUCUAGAGUAAGGUGGGGGAAGACGGAAUUCCUGGUGUAGCGGUGGAAUGCGCAGAUAUCAGGAGGAACACCAGAGGCGCAGGCGGUCUUCUAUACCAUUACUGACGCUCAAUUACGAAGGUGUGGGUAUCAAACAGGAUUAGAUACCCCCGUAGUC
rnacentral:rRNA from 1 species